UGAUCCUGGCUCAGAUUGAACGCUGGCGGCAGGCCUAACACAUGCAAGUCGAACGGUAACAGGAUAGCUUGCUAUCGCUGACGAGUGGCGGACGGGUGAGUAAUACUUAGGGAUCUGCCUCUGUGUGGGGGAUAACUAUUGGAAACGAUAGCUAAUACCGCAUAAUGUCUACGGACCAAAGCGAGCUUCGGCUCGUGCGCAGAGAGGAACCUAAGCGAGAUUAGCUAGUUGGUGAGGUAAAAGCUCACCAAGGCGACGAUCUCUAGCUGUUCUGAGAGGAAGAUCAGCCACACUGGAACUGAGACACGGUCCAGACUCCUACGGGAGGCAGCAGUGGGGAAUAUUGCACAAUGGGGGAAACCCUGAUGCAGCCAUGCCGCGUGUGUGAAGAAGGCCUUCGGGUUGUAAAGCACUUUCAGUUGUGAGGAAAGUUUAGUAGUCAAUACCUGCUAGAUGUGACGUUAGCAACAGAAGAAGCACCGGCUAACUCCGUGCCAGCAGCCGCGGUAAUACGGAGGGUGCGAGCGUUAAUCGGAAUUACUGGGCGUAAAGCGCACGCAGGCGGUCUGUUAAGCUAGAUGUGAAAGCCCCGCGCUCAACGUGGGAGGGUCAUUUAGAACUGGCAGACUAGAGUCUUGGAGAGGGGAGUGGAAUUCCAGGUGUAGCGGUGAAAUGCGUAGAGAUCUGGAGGAACAUCAAUGGCGAAGGCAACUCCCUGGCCAAAGACUGACGCUCAUGUGCGAAAGUGUGGGUAGCGAACAGGAUUAGAUACCCUGGUAGU
rnacentral:rRNA from 1 species